UCAAUAAGGGUGGAAGCGACGGGGAAAGA
rnacentral:piRNA from 1 species